rnacentral:rRNA from 1 species
CUACGGGGUGCUCCAGUGGGGAAUAUUGGACAAUGGGGGAAACCCUGAUCCAGCAAUGCCGCGUGUGUGAAGAAGGCCUGCGGGUUGUAAAGCACUUUCGGUUGGGAGGACUGCUUCUAGCACUAAUAUUGUUGGAAGUUGACGUUACCUUCAGAAGAAGCACCGGCUAGCUCCGUGCCAGCAGCCGCGGUGAAUACGGAGGGUGCAAGCGUUAAUCGGAAUUACUGGGCGUAAAGCGCGCGUAGGCGGCUAGAUCAGUCGGGUGUGAAAGCCCCGGGCUUAACCUGGGAACUGCAUCCGAUACUGUCUAGCUUGAGUACAGGAGAGGAGAGUGGAAUUCCACAUGUAGCGGUGAAAUGCGUAGAUAUGUGGAGGAACACCAAUGGCGAAGGCAGCUCUCUGGCCUGAUACUGACGCUGAGGUGCGAAAGCGUGGGGAGCAAACAGGAUUAGAUACCCGAGUAGUC